ACAUAGUACUCCUAUAUAUAUAUCGCAGGCGUAGGUCAUUCACUUAUCGCGCGGCGGAAGGAAGGAGGGGUUUCAUCAGAAAUAUCAACGAGUUAAGCAAGUUGUAAGCGAGAUCCACUUCAACAAUGAGGGCUAAGUGGAAGAAGAAGAGAAUGAGGAGGUUGAAGAGGAAGCGUCGAAAGAUGAGACAGCGAUCCAAGUAGAGUGAUGAUCAUCUUCUUGGUCACAAAUAAUGAGAGUUUUUUUAUGGCUUCCAUUUUCCUUAUCAUCCACAUGUUAGGGUUUAUGGUGGUGUAAUGCAGUUUAUUAUCUUUUCUGGACUUACUCUUUGUGUCAUCGCAGUAGUGGUUUUGAUACAAUUAUAUGUCAAGGAUUUUAGUAGAUCAUUAUAAUUAAUCUUAUUUUGACUCUU